AUUGAACGCUGGUGGCAGGCCUAACACAUGCAAGUCGAACGAGUGGCGGACGGGUGAGUAAUGUCUGGGAAACUGCCUGAUGGAGGGGGAUAACUACUGGAACCGGUAGCUAAUACCGCAUACCAUCGGAUGUGCCAAGAGGGGAUUAGCUAGUAGGUGGGGUAAAGGCUCACCAAGGCGAAGAUACCUAGCUGGUCUGCGAGGAUGACCAGCCACACUGGAACUGAGACACGGUCCAGACUCCUACGGGAGGCAGCAGUGGGGAAGCUUGCGCAAUGGGCGCAAGCCUGAUGCAGCCAUGCCGCGUGUAUGAAGAAGGCCUUCGGGUUGUAAAGUACUUUCAGCGGGGAGGCGUUACCCGCAGAAGAAGCCCCGGCGAACUCCGUGCCAGCAGCCGCGGUAAUAC
rnacentral:rRNA from 1 species